AUCUGAUCCACUUCUCUUUUCCUUCGUGAGAAGCAGCUCAGCACAGCAGGAACAACAGAGUAUCUGUCUGCCUACUCCUCUGCCUGCCACGUCCAGCCACCAACCCCUCGUCUGUGUUCCUCCGUGCAUCUCCGCACACCUGCUCCAGCCUGCUCGCACUUGCAAACUGGAUCCCCGGCUUCGGACCUCCGCUCCAACUCCGGAGAUACUCCCUGACCCUGGACAUUGUGAAUAUCAAUUCCCUCAGCUGUUCAGCAUCACCGGUUUUGGAAAUAAAGCCUUUUGUUUCUUAAA